rnacentral:lncRNA from 1 species
UGGCGAAGGCGACGUCCGGUGCCGCGGGGCUGCGUCUGCUGUUGCUGCUGCUGCUGCCGCUGCUAGGCAAAGGGCAUUGGGCCUCUACUUCUCGAGGGAUGCUUACUGGGAGAAGCUGUAUGUGGACCAGGCAGCCGGCACGCCCUUGCUGUACGUCCAUGCCCUGCGGGACGCCCCUGAGGAGGUGCCCAGCUUCCGCCUGGGCCAGCAUCUCUACGGCACGUACCGCACACGGCUGCAUGAGAACAACUGGAUCUGCAUCCAGGAG